UACGUAGGGUGCGAGCGUUAAUCGGAAUUACUGGGCGUAAAGCGCGCGCAGGCGGUCCUUCAAGUCAGAGGUGAAAGCCCAGAGCUCAACUCUGGAAUUGCCUUUGAGACUGAGUGGCUUGAGUACGAGAGAGGUGAGUGGAAUUCCCAGUGUAGAGGUAAAAUUCGUAGAUAUUGGGAAGAACACCGGUGGCGAAGGCGGCUCACUGGCUCGUAACUGACGCUCAUGCACGACAGCGUGGGGAUCAAACAGG
rnacentral:rRNA from 1 species